UACAGAGGUCUCAAGCGUUGUCCGGAUUCAUUGGGCGUAAAGGGUGCGUAGGCGGCGCCGUAAGUCGGAUGUGAAAUUUCGGAGCUUAACUCCGAAACUGCAUUCGAUACUGCGGUGCUUGAGGACUGGAGAGGAGACUGGAAUUCAUGGUGUAGCAGUGAAAUGCGUAGAGAUCAUGAGGAAGACCAGUGGCGAAGGCGGGUCUCUGGACAGUUCCUGACACUGAGGCACGAAGGCCAGGGGAGCAAACGGG
rnacentral:rRNA from 1 species